GUACAGCUGUGACGUCUGUGGAAAAACUUUCAGCCGGAUAGGGAGCCGAAAUACACACCUACGCAUUCACACCGGACAUGAUGUGUACAGCUGUGAUCAGUGUGGUAAACAGUUUACUACAAACACAGAGUUACGACGUCACAUGUUUACCCACACUGAGGAACGACCUUAUAAAUGUGACCUGUGUGAGAAGACUUUUAAAUCUCCACGUUACCUGAGACGACACCAACAGAUCCACACCAGAAAGACUCUACAAGUGCAGUUACUGUGAGAAGCAGAGCGACACAGAUGGAUCAAGUUCUCAACCCUGUCAUCGCUGUGGGAAAGACUUUUGUUGUGACCUUUGUGGAAAAACUUUAAGUCAUUGAAGGACUCUGAAAAUACAUCAACGUAGACACACUGGAGACAAAAUGAACUACUGUAAAGAAUGCGGGAGAGGCUUCACCACUUCAAAGGACUUCAAACAAUAUGAACUCCUUCACAGUGGCGUUAAAAAGCAUGUCUGCGAUCAGUGUGGGUCAUCCUUCAUCAGUGCACAUCAGCUUGAAAAGCAUAAACGAGUCCACACAUGAGAGAAACCAUACAAGUGCAGACACUGUGACAAAACCUUUUCACAAUCAUGUGAUCAUACUAAGCAUGAACGCAGACACAUGAAAGAGAACUUCAUCUGUGAAAGAGUUUGAGUAAUCUCAGUUCAUACUCCACUCAGAAACGAUUCCAUGUUACAAAUAAACUGUUACGUCUUGAUUCCUGCUUUUACGUUAAUCUUGUAAACAGUACAUUUGCAUAACGACUGAAACCGGCCCAAUGAAUGAACAAUGGGCUGUGAGGUCAAUUUCUUCAUCAUUAAUAUGCAAAUUCUUAUGAGCAUUGAUCAA